rnacentral:rRNA from 1 species
UGGAGAAUAUUGGACAAUGGGCGCAAGCCUGAUCCAGCCAUGCCGCGUGUGUGAAGAAGGCCUUAUGGUUGUAAAGCACUUUAAGCGAGGAGGAGGCUACUUUAGUUAAUACCUAGAGAUAGUGGACGUUACUCGCAGAAUAAGCACCGGCUAACUCUGUGCCAGCAGCCGCGGUAAUACAGAGGGUGCAAGCGUUAAUCGGAUUUACUGGGCGUAAAGCGCGCGUAGGCGGCUAAUUAAGUCAAAUGUGAAAUCCCCGAGCUUAACUUGGGAAUUGCAUUCGAUACUGGUUAGCUAGAGUGUGGGAGAGGAUGGUAGAAUUCCAGGUGUAGCGGUGAAAUGCGUAGAGAUCUGGAGGAAUACCGAUGGCGAAGGCAGCCAUCUGGCCUAACACUGACGC